GGAGGAAAGAAAGAAAUGACAUGAGGAUUUUUGUCCUGACAUAUUACACCUCGAAUGCCGCAUGAAAACAACCCAAACUCCAAAUGAUGCUGGACUUUUUCUCACAAUGAAGAAAGAGAAGAAAAGAAAAAAAAAAGCCUCACAUCAGUUCCAGUGUAAGGUCAGAUGUGUGAAGGAGGUUGAUGGGUGUGUCCGGGAUGACUCCAACAAGGCUGGUAGAACAUCUGCUGGUAAUGGAGAAGAUGGACCUCCACAAAGUGGGGUCAAAGGAUGAAGAUUACAAGCCAGGAGAAAACAGCUCUCUG